rnacentral:rRNA from 1 species
AUUGAACGCUGGCGGCAGGCCUAACACAUGCAAGUCGAACGGUAGCACAGAGAGCUUGCUCUCGGGUGACGAGUGGCGGACGGGUGAGUAAUGUCUGGGAAACUGCCCGAUGGAGGGGGAUAACUACUGGAAACGGUAGCUGAUACCGCAUAACGUCGCAAGACCAAAGAGGGGGACCUUAGGGCCUCUUGCCAUCGGAUGUGCCCAGAUGGGAUUAGCUUGUAGGUGAGGUAACGGCUCACCUAGGCGACGAUCCCUAGCUGGUCUGAGAGGAUGACCAGCCACACUGGAACUGAGACACGGUCCAGACUCCUACGGGAGGCAGCAGUGGGGAAUAUUGCACAAUGGGCGCAAGCCUGAUGCAGCCAUGCCGCGUGUAUGAAGAAGGCCUUCGGGUUGUAAAGUACUUUCAGCGGGGAGGAAGGGAGUGAGGUUAAUAACCUUAUUCAUUGACGUUACCCGCAGAAGAAGCACCGGCUAACUCCGUGCCAGCAGCCGCGGUAAUACGGAGGGUGCAAGCGUUAAUCGGAAUUACUGGGCGUAAAGCGCACGCAGGCGGUCUGUCAAGUCGGAUGUGAAAUCCCCGGGCUCAACCUGGGAACUGCAUUCGAAACUGGCAGGCUGGAGUCUUGUAGAGGGGGGUAGAAUUCCAGGUGUAGCGGUGAAAUGCGUAGAGAUCUGGAGGAAUACCGGUGGCGAAGGCGGCCCCCUGGACAAAGACUGACGCUCAGGUGCGAAAGUGUGGGGAGCAAACAGGAUUAGAUACCCUGGUAGUCCACGCUGUAAACGAUGUCGACUUGGAGGUUGUUCCCUUGAGGAGUGGCUUCCGGAGCUAACGCGUUAAGUCGACCGCCUGGGGAGUACGGCCGCAAGGUUAAAACUCAAAUGAAUUGACGGGGGCCCGCACAAGCGGUGGAGCAUGUGGUUUAAUUCGAUGCAACGCGAAGAACCUUACCUACUCUUGACAUCCAGAGAACUUAGCAGAGAUGCUUUGGUGCCUUCGGGAACUCUGAGACAGGUGCUGCAUGGCUGUCGUCAGCUCGUGUUGUGAAAUGUUGGGUUAAGUCCCGCAACGAGCGCAACCCUUAUCCUUUGUUGCCAGCGAUUCGGUCGGGAACUCAAAGGAGACUGCCAGUGAUAAACUGGAGGAAGGUGGGGAUGACGUCAAGUCAUCAUGGCCCUUACGAGUAGGGCUACACACGUGCUACAAUGGCAUAUACAAAGAGAAGCGACCUCGCGAGAGCAAGCGGACCUCAUAAAGUAUGUCGUAGUCCGGAUUGGAGUCUGCAACUCGACUCCAUGAAGUCGGAAUCGCUAGUAAUCGUGGAUCAGAAUGCCACGGUGAAUACGUUCCCGGGCCU